rnacentral:rRNA from 1 species
CGGGUGCACUGAUCCAGCCGGGCCUUUCCCUCUGUGGAACCCCAUGGCCUUCACUGGCUGUGGUGGGGAAACAGGACUUUUACUUUGAAAAAAUUAGAGUGCUCCAGGCAGGCCUAUGCUCGAAUACAUUAGCAUGGAAUAAUAGAAUAGGACGUGUGGUUCUAUUUUGUUGGUUUCUAGGACCGCCCUAAUGAUUCAUAGGGACAGUCGGGGGCAUCAGUAUUCAAUUGUCAGAGGUGAAAUUCUUGGAUCUAUUGAAGACUAACUACUGCGAAAGCAUUUGCCAAGGAUGUUUUCAUUGAUAAGGAACGAAAGUUAGGGGAUUGAAGACGAUCAGAUACCGUCGUAGUCUUAACUAUAAACUAUGCCGACUAGGGAUCGGACGAUGUUAUUCUUUGACGCGUUCGGCACCUUUCGAGAAAUCAAAGUGCUUGGGCUCCAGGGGGAGUAUGGUCGCAAGGCUGAAACUUAAAGAAAUUGACGGAAGGGCACCACCAGGGGUGGAACCUGCGGCUUAAUUUGACUCAACACGGGGAAACUCACCAGGUCCAGACACAGUGAGGAUUGACAGAUUGAGAGCUCUUUCUUGAUUCUGUGGGUGGUGGUGCAUGGCCGUUCUUAGUUGGUGGAGUGAUUUGUCUGCUUAAUUGCGAUAACGAACGAGACCUUAACCUGCUAAAUAGCCCGUACUGCUUUGGCAGUUCGCCGGCUUCUUAGAGGGACUAUCGG